rnacentral:tRNA from 1 species
GGGGAUGUAGCUCAGCGGCACAGCACCUGCCUGGAAAGCAGGAGAGCAUGAGCUAAAUUCCCA